UACGGAGGGGGCUAGCGUUGUUCGGAAUUACUGGGCGUAAAGCGCACGUAGGCGGCUUUGUAAGUUAGAGGUGAAAGCCCAGGGCUCAACCCUGGAAUUGCCUUUAAGACUGCAUCGCUUGAACAUCGGAGAGGUAAGUGGAAUUCCGAGUGUAGAGGUGAAAUUCGUAGAUAUCUGGAGGAACACCGGUGGCGAAGGCGGCAUCCUGGACCGGCAUUGACGCUGAGGAGCGAAAGCCAGGGGAGCAAACGGG
rnacentral:rRNA from 1 species